CAAUAAGGAAUUAAUGGAUAGUAAUUGGUUUCAGAUCAUUCCUCCUGGUCAGGCAUUAAUGUGGGCAUGCAAUCCUUCAUUAAUCCAAAGUCAUGUACAAAACACUAGCUUGUUAGGAGAUGAAAAGUAUUCAGUGAAUGAACCAGAUUUCAGCCAAGACCAUUAAGGAAUUUUA